UGGGAAGAAGCAAUAAGUGGAUUGCAUGAUGCAUUAAGAUAAUAUCGAUAUGAUCUAGUCUCAAUUAAGUUAGUGUUUUGAAAGGUUUUACCGUUUAUUUUACUAUUUUUUUAAUAUGUUGUGCUUGAAAAACGUUGUUUAUUACAUAUUAAAUUAAAAUAUUUAUUUUCAGACGAAAGAUAAAAUCUGUAAGCAAUUUCUGUCUGUAUUUACUUGUUCAAAUGCCAGUGAAAAGAACGAUAGAAAAGAAGAAGCAUUCAGUUGGCUUGCAAUUUUUUUAAAUAAUUUUAAAUGAUCUGAAUAGUUUUGUUGCUUUUAUUUAGUUGAAUGAUAAAAUUGUUUGUACAAAAGGUUGGCUCUUAAACUUUUAUGUUGAAGUUGUUAUUUCUUUGUUAAAUGUUUUCCGUCGUUAACAAAGCAAGUAAAAAAAUGCACACAAUAAAAAACAGAUUUAUAUUUAGAAAUGUUUGCAAAACUUUUCGUUUGGAUACAAAAGACCAGAGACUGUUUACCGUUUGGCUCCUGUCCCAAUCUAACCUAGUUAGAUUCAAAAAUAAAAGACCACGCUAGAAAUAUGAGAGGUUUAAAAGGAUCAGUUCUUUUUGAGUUAAUAGCUGAAGUUCAAGCAAAAGACUGUUAUGUUCACUCGUUCAAGCAAGAGACUGUUAUGUUCACUCGUUUUUUAGAAGCAAGAGACUCUUUUGUUCACUCGUUUUUUUACAACAAGAUAAAGACACAAAAGACGUCUUUUCGAUGUCGAAAAAAGAUGUCUUUUAGAUUUGCAUAGUCGACCAAAAAAAGACGUCUA